rnacentral:rRNA from 1 species
AUUGAACGCUGGCGGCAUGCUUUACACAUGCAAGUCGAACGGUAACAGGCCGCAAGGUGCUGACGAGUGGCGAACGGGUGAGUAAUGCAUCGGAACGUGCCCAGUCGUGGGGGAUAACGCAGCGAAAGCUGCGCUAAUACCGCAUACGAUCUAUGGAUGAAAGCGGGGGACCGUAAGGCCUCGCGCGAUUGGAGCGGCCGAUGUCAGAUUAGGUAGUUGGUGGGGUAAAGGCUCACCAAGCCGACGAUCUGUAGCUGGUCUGAGAGGACGACCAGCCACACUGGGACUGAGACACGGCCCUGACUCCUACGGGAGGCAGCAGUGGGGAAUUUUGGACAAUGGGCGCAAGCCUGAUCCAGCAAUGCCGCGUGCAGGAUGAAGGCCUUCGGGUUGUAAACUGCUUUUGUACGGAGCGAAAAGGCCUCCACUAAUACUGGGGGCUCAUGACGGUACCGUAAGAAUAAGCACCGGCUAACUACGUGCCAGCCGCCGCGGUAAAAC